ensembl:lncRNA
UUUUUUUUUUUUUUUUUUUUUUUUUUGGUCUUUCUUUUUAGGGCCACAUCCAUGGCAUAUGGAGGUUCCCAGGCUAGGGGUUGAAUCGGAGCUGUAGCCACCGGCCUACGCCAGAGCCACAGCAACGCAGGAUCCGAGCCGCGUCUGCAACCUACACCACAGCUCACGGCCACGCCGGAUCGUUAACCCACUGAGCAAGGCCAGGGACCGAACCCGCAACCUCAUGGUUCCUAGUCGGAUUCGUUAACCACUGCGCCACGACGGGAACUCCCUGCUUUGAAUUCUUUUUCAGACAGUUUAUUUUAGCUGUCACUGAUUUAAAAAAGAAAUCCUCAUUAUUUUAAUUUUAUUUUUAGUAAUAGCUUUAUUGAGAUUUAUUUCACAUCCCAUAAAGUUCACACUUUUAAAAUGUACAGUCUAGUGGUUUGUUUGUUUUUGGGGGGCAUAUUUACAGAGUUGUGUAUUGCUCACCACUGUCUAAUUCCAGAACAGUUGCAUCAUCCCGCAGAAAAAGCUCCAGACCCCAUUAGCAGCCACUUCCAAUAUCCCGAUCCCUCCAGCCCCUGCAACCGCUGAUUACUUUCUCUAUGGAUCUGCCGAUUCUGGACAUCUCAUAUCAGUGGGGUCAUGCACUGUGCGGCUUUCUGUGUCCGGCCUCUUAUCAUAAUGCUUUCGGGGUUCAUCCAUGUUGUGGCAUGUGUCAGUACGUUAUUCCUUUGUGUGACUGAGUAAUAUAUGCCAUUGUAUGGACUGCCAAAGAGGAACAAAGCUGGAGUGAAGUUAAAGUGGUGAAAAGAGAUUUUAUUCGGUGACUGCCGACAGUAGGGGACAGAGUAGAGCUCCAUUCCAAUUUGUACAGAGGUCACCAGGCCUUUUAAAGGGAGAAUGAGGGGGUGUGUAUGUGGGGGGGGGCUCAGGUGAAAGAUUACAAGGGCUGGCAACUCAGUGUAUAGGUGUGAUUAGGCCAGUGGUGUCUGCUAGCCACGCCCCUCCUCCCAGGAGACCAGAGACGGGCCCCUCCAACCUGAUGCUUACCUUUCAGGGAAAUGACUUUUAGGUCCUCGAGUUGUAGGAGAUGUGUGCCCAUCCCACAGGGCAGAGGAAGGAUGCUCCAUAGUGAGCCUUUUUCAGUAAAUGCUGAAUAAACAGCUCUGAGCUUUUCUAGACAGGAGCUCAGGACUGGGAUAGAAUGUCCCAGGGACACAGCCUUAGACUGCUAGAAGCCAGGUUAAAAUCUGAUCGAGUCUCUUAGUGUAGGGAUUUGAUGGGAGUGCUCAUACCUAGAGUUUUUACAAUACUUAGGCUAUACUACAUUUUGUUUAUCCAUUUGUCAGUUGAGAGACAUUUGGGCUGUUUUCACUUUUUGGCUGUGAAGAGUAUUGUUCUGUAAACAUUCAUGUAUAUGGUAUCAUGCGAAUAUAUGUUUUCGGUUCUCUUGAGUAUAAACCUGAGAGUGGAAUUGUUGAGUCAUAUGGUAACUAUAAGUUUAAUUUUUUAAUUUUAAAAAAUUUAUUUAUUUGUGUAUUUAUGUAUUUUAGGGCCACACCUGCAGCAUGUAGAAGUUCUCAGGCGAGGGCUCGAAUCAGAGCUGCAGCUGCCGGCCUACACCGCAGCUACAGCAACGCCACAUCCCAGCCGCUUCUGCGACCUACACCACAGCUCUCGGUAACGCUGGAUCCUUAACCCACUGAGGAGGCCCGAGUCCUCUGGGAUACUAGACGGGUUCAUCACGGCUGAGGCAUGACAGGAACUCCCUAGUAUUUUUUAAUUCAUUGAAGCAGAGUGCCCUUUGUGUAGCCUGCCUUGGGGGCAAGGGAAGUAGAUAAGUGCAAAGGGGAUGUGCCCUGCUGGUGGUCCUGUGUCCAGGUUUGGGGACACAGGAAGAUUAAGAUACCAUCAGGGAGGGAGGGCCAGUUAUCGACUACUGUUUCAGGUGUCAUCUGAAAUGAUUUUAUUCAAAGUAUCUUAACUCUUUUCUGGAGAUGGCAAUAAUUACAAAGAAAUGCAAUGCAUGUCCAGUUUGUGAUUAUAACUCUCUUAGGAGCUUAGAGUAUCAGAUAGGUGUGUGGUGUUUGUAUAAAAUGCCUGCCCUGGUUUUUAGUGCCUGAAGGGCAGUUUGACCCUCGCCUGUAGUAUUCUGCCUGCAACAGGUGUCUAAGUGUGUGGUUUUUCUUUCCCCCUGCAGUUAAAAAUUCAAGAUGUCCACCUGCGCUUUGAAGACGGCCUUACCAACCCCGCGCAUCCUUUCGCGUUCGGCAUCUGCAUUAAGAACGUGUCCAUGCAGAAUGCCGUGAAUGAGCCCGUGAGUACCAACUAGGACUGCCACCUGGGAGGAAGGCGCUGGGUCUGGGGCACUGGCUCUCUGCCCAUUGUCCUUUCGUGUUAUGUCGGUGAGGUCACCUUUCCCCUGUGUACUUUGUUGGGUGUGGAUGUCUCUUGUCUUUUGCUGAAUAGGAAAAUAGUUAAUUUUUUCUGACUUGCUGUUAUUUCACUUAUCCAUUCAGUGUUGGUGCAUUUUACACACGAGGAAACGGAGGUGCAGAGAGCAUUUCAUCUUUGGUUUUCUUCUCACGCUGUGUACCCUCUCGGGGGUGGGGAGGGCACUCAUUCUGUUCAAGGUUUCUGCUGCCACCUGGAAAUAUUUGCCAAUGGCAUCCAUGUCUUGAAGUCCAUUCUCCACUCCUCUUCUGACCUUCAUAUUCAAGGUCUCGAACCACCUAUAGGGACGCUUUUGUGGCAUUUUAGGCAUGUCAUAACCCAAAUGACCUCAUCUGCCCAUUUUACUCCCCAAAACUUUUUUCCUUUAUUCUCUGACAUGUUAGUAAAUGUUUAUUAAAAAAACAAACACUUGAAAACUAACAUCUUUAGAGCCCUUUUGUGUGCCAGGCACCGUUCUCAGUGCCUUCCGUGAUUUACCUCGUUGAAUUCUCAUUGCUUUUCCCCAUCACUGUUAUCCUUGUCCUGCAGCCAAGGAUGCAAAGCAGCGAAGGAGGGAGUGAGUGGCGGAGCCAGAUCUCGAAUCCAGGUGGACCUGCUCUAGAUCAGGGCCAGCAGACUGUGGGUCAGAUCCAACCCUGUCUGUUUUUGUAAAUAAAGUGAAUCACUGCCACGCCCCUGCGUUUACACAUUGUGCUCCAGUGGCAGACUGGAGUAGCUACACCAGAAACCCUUUGGCCCACAAGGUCUGAAUGUUUGCCAUUCCCAGAAGAGCUUUGCCGUCCCUGUUCUGGAGCGUGUUCUUACCCACAGCACCGGUUUCUGCAAGCCUGUGCUCAUGCUUUCACUUCUCAUUCCUCAACGUCCUUAUUCGUUUAUUCACAACCUCCUGCCAGUUUUUCCUGCAGAAUGUCUCAGAUGUGGCUCUUCCUGUCGUCCUCACAACUGUCCGGGUUCAAGACCCUGUAUCUGCCUGGGUUGAUAGAGUCCUGUCUUCUGUGACCUCCUUCCUUCCAUCCCAGGCUCUUGAUUCAAUCUCUACCAAUGAUGCUUCUCAGCCUUUGCCACGUCACGACACAGAGAGAAGGAGGAUGGUACUUGGCCAGGACCCUGGGGCCAAUGGAUGUGGCUGCCAGAGGCUGGAAGUGCUUAGCUCAGAGUAACCAAGUACGGUGGACCCUUGAACAACGUGGGUUUGAACUGUGUGGGUCCACUUACACCCAGAUUUCUUUCAUCAAGUAUAUGCUACAGUGACAAACGAUCCUCAGAUGCAGAACCCGGGUUACAGAGGGCUGACUCUAAAGUCGUAUGUGAAUUUUCCACUGAGGGGAGGGUGGGUGCCCCUGCCCCCACGUUUUUCAAGGGUCACUGUAUUCCUAAAAUGUCACGAUCCUAUCAUCUUGCUCGUUAUCUUGACACACUCAUGACUCCAGGGGGGCAGCUCCACUUUGCAUGGUUGCCGGGGUUGUUUCUAAGACACAGGCCUGACCCUGGUGCGUGUCCACAUCAAGACCCUCAGCGGCUCCCUGUGCCUUAGAGCGUGACACCCAAACUCCUUAGUGUGACACACUUCUUAGUGUGUUAGUUUCCUGGGUCUAAGAUAACAAAUGGUUGGUUUAAAACAAUAGAAGUUUAUUUUCUUUAGUUCUGGAGGCCAGAGUCCAGGAUCGAGGUGUUACCAGGGUUGGUUGCUGCUGGCAGCUCUGAGGGAGGCCCUUUCCCAUGCCUCCCUCCUUGUUUGUCGUGGCUGCCUUGGCCUUCCCCAGCCUGUGAAUACGUCCCCGUAGUCUCUGCCUCCAUCUGCGCAUGGCCUUCUCCUCUGUGUGUCUCUUUUCUCUUUUAUAAGGACACAAAUGAUUAGACUGGGACCCACUCCAAUCUAGUCCAACCUCAUUUUACUUUCAUUACAUCUGCAAAGACCCUAUUUCCAAAUAAGGUCCCAUUCACAGGUUCGGGGGUGCAGGAAACUAAUCAACUUAGCACCUCGUGGCAUCCCCAAGCUACUUUCUUUUCUCAACCCUUCACAACUCCGCCCUCCAAAUAUGUGUCCACACGCCAGGCCUGCCCCCGUGCCCGAGGGCAGUGGUCCAGUUACACGAUGCGUUCGCCGUCUUCUGGGGCCACAGGCCUUUUGUGUCAUUGGCCCCGGUCUUUGAAGUGCGUUCCAGUCCUUCCCUCCCCUCCUUUGUCUGAAAUUUACACGGUUUUUGACACUCAUCUGUGCAGUGACAUUUUCCCUUUGCUUAUAGCAUUUUCUAUAUUCUGCUGCUGCGGCUUCCCUCUGCCUAAUUGAAAUUGUCUCCAUCUUCGUAUUUCCAGUUAGCUAGAUUCUGGACUCUGUUUAAGAGCGAAACCACGUUUUCAUUCAGUUCUGUACCCUCAGCACCUUGCCAAGUGGCCGAUGCUUGAUUCUCCGCAAAUGGCCCUUUGAGUGGAUUGAGUCCAUUUAAGAAUAAAGAAUCUUGUUUUCCUCCCUGUCUUCCCUCAGGUGCAGAAAUUAAUGCGGAAAAAGCAGUUAGAUGUGGCAGAGUUUAGCAUCUAUUGGGAUGUCGACUGCACUUUAUUGGGGGAUUUGCCUCAGGUGGAGCUGCAGGUAUGGUUCUGGCAGGGCUCUGUUACGAUCCAACACCAAAGUGAAGGGGGCUAAGAUCACUGCCUCUUACGGUUUGUUCCCUGCGUCUCUGUCCCCAUUCUCACCCCAUCUCCCUCCAUAGGCACACGCCCUCGAGUAUGUUUGCUUGGGGUACUUGCUCUACGUGUACCUCUGAACAAUGUAUGGGGUUUUGUGUAUGUUUGACAUUUAUUAUAGAUUAUAGUGUAUUAUAGUUUAUUUGUUUCCCUUAUUUCACUUAAAGCUAUAUUUUUAAGGUGGUUCACAGUGUUGCUGUUUAUACUUCAUUGCUUCUGACUACUGCAUGGUGUUCCACUACCUGCACUUAACACGUUAGAAUUCUCCAUGAUCUCCGCCGCCAUUGUACUGGGCAUCCACAUAAUCCAAGAACAAAGCGCUAGAUCUGAUUCUUAAAGGAGCACUUUCUUAACUAUGUUUUAUGUUGAAAUUUCACCUCUGGUGGCAUUUCUUUAAGAAGUACUUAGAAAGGAGUUCUCACUGUGGCGCAGUGGGUUAAGGAUCCAGCUACAGCAGCUUGGGUCCUGCUGUGGUGUGGGUUCAAUCCUUGGCCUGGCACAGUGGGUUAAGGAUCUGAGGCUGGCCCAGCUGUAGCAUAGGUCAGUUGCAGCUCUGGCUCGGAUUUGAUCCCUGGCCUGGGUGUGGCCAAAAA